CAGAAUCAAAGUGCACUCCUUGUGAAGACAAGAGAUUUAAAUUACUACAGCGGAAGAAAGAGGGCUAGCCAAAGGGCACUUUAGAGAUUUAAAUUCUAAGGGAUUUUCAUUAAAAUGGUGCAGAUGUGGUCC
rnacentral:lncRNA from 1 species